UUUACAACAAAUGAAUGAAAGAUGUGCAAAGCAGUAACAAUGAUAAAGGAGACAGGCCACUGCUAGCUGUGGGCUAGGUGAAAAUGAGUUACAGGCAAUGAGGCCCAACAAGACGACUGUGAAGCUGGAUGGGGGAGGGAUGGAGAGAGAGAAGGGAUGCAAGGGU